rnacentral:rRNA from 1 species
GAUGAACGCUGGCGGCGUGCCUAAUACAUGCAAGUCGAGCGAACAGACGAGGAGCUUGCUCCUCUGACGUUAGCGGCGGACGGGUGAGUAACACGUGGAUAACCUACCUAUAAUACUGGGAUAACUUCGGGAAACCGGAGCUAAUACCGGAUAAUAUAUUGCACCGCAUUGUUCAAUGGUGAAAGACGGUGUUGCUGUCACUUAUAGAUGGUUCUGCGCCGCAUUAGAUAGUUGGUAAGGUAACGGCUUAGCAAGGCGACGAUGCGUAGCCGACCUGAGAGGGUGAUAGGCCACACUGGAACUGGGACAGGGUCCAGACUACUACGAGAGGGAGCAGUAGGGAAUCUUCGGCAAUAGGCGAAAGCAUGACAGAGCAACGCCGCGUGAGAGAUAACGGUCUUCGGAUCGUAAAACUCUGUUAUUAGGGAAGAACAGAUGUGGAAGUAACUAUGCACGUCUUGACGGUACCUAAUCAGAAAGCCACGGCUAACUACGUG